rnacentral:lncRNA from 1 species
AAAGGAAUUUUUCACAAAUUUUGGAGAUUUUUGGGGUUUUUCUCCUCCCAUUCAUUCCAAACUUUUGCUGGCUCCAAUUUGGACUGGUCUGAACUGGUCUGGACUGGUCUGAACUGGUUUGAACUGGUUUUAUUGGUCUGAACUGGUUUGGACUGGUUUGAACUGGGACUGGCUCCCCAUUUGAUCCAAUAACAACAAGAAAAUAAAGGAAUUUUGCACAAAUUUUGGGAUUUUUCUCGUCCCAUUUAUUCCGACUUUCUGGAAGUUCCAGUUUGGACUGGUCUGAACUGGUUUGGACUGGUCUGAACUGGGAAUGACUCCAAGAAACAAGAAGAAAAUAAAGGAAUUUUUCACAAAUUUUUGAGUUUUUCCCCUUCCAUUUAUUCCAAAUUUCUGCUGGUUCCAGUUUGGACUGGUCUGAACUGGUUUUUACUGGUUUGGACUGGUUUAAAAUGGGAAUGACUCCAAGAAACAACAAGAAAAUAACAGAAUUUUAAACAGAUUUUGGAGAUUUUGGGGGUUUUUCUCCUCCCAUUUAUUCCAAACUUCUGCUGGUUCCAGUUUGGACUGGUCCGAACUGGUUUGUACUGGUUUUUGCCGUUUUUUGCUGUUUUUUGCCGUUUUUUGGCGCUCUCAGGAGUGCAGGAAUCGGUUGAAGGCGUUGUAGGCGGACUCGAGGUCGAAGAGCAUCUGGCGCACCU